CUUUUAACUGUUUAAUUCAAUAAUAGCAAAACAGGGCUGGUAUCUCACCGAUGGCUGCUGGCUGCGCCAUCUCACAGGCCUUAUGAGGUUUGACUACAUACAGGUUUGUCCUGAACUAGAAGCAUCUUGAGAGAAGAGAAAACAAAUGGCUUUCCACACUAAAAGCUGCUGUGAACUGGAAUGCCUGCCACACUGGGCCUUGCCACAUUUAUCACUGUGGUGACCCUCAUCCAAAUGUGAUGUCUUUAGAGAUGAGAACAGGACAUGGUCUACCUGAUAGAAG
rnacentral:lncRNA from 1 species